rnacentral:rRNA from 1 species
GACGAACGCUGGCGGCGUGCUUAACACAUGCAAGUGGUGCGACGAACCAGGGCUUGCCCUGGGGCAAAGCCGCGAACGGGUGAGUAACACGUGGGUAACCUGCCCCGAUGACCGGGACAACCCGAGGAAACUCGGGCUAAUACCGGAUGUGGUGCUUUGGCAUCAGCCUUUGCACUAAAGGAAGCUUCGGCCUCCGCAUUGGGAGGGGCCCGCGGCCCAUUAGCUUGUUGGUGGGGUAACGGCCUACCAAGGCAACGAUGGGUAGCUGGUCUGAGAGGACGAUCAGCCACACUGGGACUGAGACACGGCCCAGACUCCUACGGGAGGCAGCAGUGGGGAAUCUUGCGCAAUGCGCGAAAGCGUGACGCAGCAACGCCGCGUGGGGGAAGACGGCCUUCGGGUUGUAAACCCCUUUCAGGAGGGACGAAGGUUCGCCGGUGAAUAGCCGUGCGGAUUGACGGUACCUCCACAAGAAGCUCCGGCUAACUACGUGCCAGCAGCCGCGAGUAAAC